rnacentral:rRNA from 1 species
CUGAUGCAGCGACGCAGCGUGCGGGAUGACGGCCUUCGGGUUGUAAACCGCUUUCAGCAGGGAAGAAGCGAAAGUGACGGUACCUGCAGAAGAAGUACCGGCUAACUACGUGCCAGCAGCCGCGGUAAUACGUAGGGUACGAGCGUUGUCCGGAAUUAUUGGGCGUAAAGAGCUCGUAGGUGGUUGGUCACGUCUGCUGUGGAAACGCAACGCUUAACGUUGCGCGUGCAGUGGGUACGGGCUGACUAGAGUGCAGUAGGGGAGUCUGGAAUUCCUGGUGUAGCGGUGAAAUGCGCACAUAUCAGGAGGAACACCGGUGGCGAAGGCGGGACUCUGGGCUGUAACUGACACUGAGGAGCGAAAGCAUGGGGAGCGAACAGGAUUAGAUACCCUGGUAGUCCAUGCCGUAAACGUUGGGCACUAGGUGUGGGGGACAUUCC